ACGCUGGCGGCGUGCCUAAUACAUGCAAGUAGAACGCUGAAAGAGGAGCUUGCUUUUCUGGAUGAGUUGCGAACGGGUGAGUAACGCGUAGGUAACCUGCCUGGUAGCGGGGGAUAACUAUUGGAAACGAUAGCUAAUACCGCAUAACAGUAAAUGUUGCAUGACAUUUGCUUAAAAGGUGCAAUUGCAUCACUACCAGAUGGACCUGCGUUGUAUUAGCUAGUUGGUGGGGUAACGGCUCACCAAGGCGACGAUACAUAGCCGACCUGAGAGGGUGAUCGGCCACACUGGGACUGAGACACGGCCCAGACUCCUACGGGAGGCAGCAGUAGGGAAUCUUCGGCAAUGGACGGAAGUCUGACCGAGCAACGCCGCGUGAGUGAAGAAGGUUUUCGGAUCGUAAAGCUCUGUUGUAAGAGAAGAACGAGUGUGAGAGUGGAAAGUUCACACUGUGACGGUAUCUUACCAGAAAGGGACGGCUAACUACGUGCCAGCAGCCGCGGUAAUACGUAGGUCCCGAGCGUUGUCCGGAUUUAUUGGGCGUAAAGCGAGCGCAGGCGGUUAGAUAAGUCUGAAGUUAAAGGCUGUGGCUUAGCCAUAGUACGCUUUGGAAACUGUUUAACUUGAGUGCAAGAGGGGAGAGUGGAAUUCCAUGUGUAGCGGUGAAAUGCGUAGAUAUAUGGAGGAACACCGGUGGCGAAAGCGGCUCUCUGGCUUGUAACUGACGCUGAGGCUCGAAAGCGUGGGGAGCAAACAGGAUUAGAUACCCUGGUAGUCCACGCCGUAAACGAUGAGUGCUAGGUGUUAGACCCUUUCCGGGGUUUAGUGCCGCAGCUAACGCAUUAAGCACUCCGCCUGGGGAGUACGACCGCAAGGUUGAAACUCAAAGGAAUUGACGGGGGCCCG
rnacentral:rRNA from 1 species